AGCGAACGCUGGCGGCAGGCCUAACACAUGCAAGUCGAACGAACCCUUCGGGGUUAGUGGCGGACGGGUGAGUAACACGUGGGAACGUGCCUUUAGGUUCGGAAUAACUCAGGGAAACUUGUGCUAAUACCGAAUGUGCCCUUCGGGGGAAAGAUUUAUCGCCUUUAGAGCGGCCCGCGUCUGAUUAGCUAGUUGGUGAGGUAAUGGCUCACCAAGGCUACGAUCAGUAGCUGGUCUGAGAGGAUGACCAGCCACAUUGGGACUGAGACACGGCCCAAACUCCUACGGGAGGCAGCAGUGGGGAAUCUUGCGCAAUGGGCGAAAGCCUGACGCAGCCAUGCCGCGUGGAUGAUGAAGGUCUUAGGAUUGUAAAAUCCUUUCACCGGUGAAGAUAAUGACGGUACCCGGAGAAGAAGCCCCGGCUAACUUCGUGCCAGCAGCCGCAGUAAUAC
rnacentral:rRNA from 1 species